rnacentral:rRNA from 1 species
GAUGAACGCUGGCGGCGUGCCUAAUACAUGCAAGUCGAGCGAACGGACGAGAAGCUUGCUUCUCUGAUGUUAGCGGCGGACGGGUGAGUAACACGUGGAUAACCUACCUAUAAGACUGGGAUAACUUCGGGAAACCGGAGCUAAUACCGGAUGAUAUUUUGAACCGCAUGGUUCAAAAGUGAAAGACGGUCUUGCUGUCACUUAUAGAUGGAUCCGCGCUGCAUUAGCUAGUUGGUAAGGUAACGGCUUACCAAGGCAACGAUGCAUAGCCGACCUGAGAGGGUGAUCGGCCACACUGGAACUGAGACACGGUCCAGACUCCUACGGGAGGCAGCAGUAGGGAAUCUUCCGCAAAGGGCGAAAGCCUGACGGAGCAACGCCGCGUGAGUGAUGAAGGUCUUCGGAUCGUAAAACUCUGUUAUUAGGGAAGAACAUAUGUGUAAGUAACUGUACACAUCUUGACGGUACCUAAUCAGAAAGCCACGGCUAACUACGUG